CGAAGUUUAUCGAGUACGAACGAUUGAGCGAUCGGCGGACUAAAUUGGACGAAAGAAGAGUUUGGAACUAAAGCAUGAGGAGGUGGCAUCUUUAAGGAUUAAAGUGGAACAUUUACCAUCAAUAUAUAAGAAUUUUAAGUUGAUAUUCAAACUCAGAAUAUCAAUUGAAUUCAGCAAGCUAAAAUUCGCAACUCUCCUCUCUUGAAGGUGAAACAUGCACAAAUUUUCAAUCAAGCAUAACUUCUUCGUUUUUGAUCCGAUUGAGGCGAUUCUUGCGGCCACGGAACGAGGGGAACGAGCUCUACACAUCUAUCCAUAUUAAUUAAGGUGAUAAUUAAGCUUGAAAUGGAUAAUAUGAAUGGUGAAUUCAAGCUUGGGCCUUCGGUUUUGGUCCUCCAUCAAGACUUGAAGAGGCGAUUACCAAUGGAACCCGGAACUUACAAAAUGCAAUAUCGCUUAGCUGUUAUCGAAGGAUAUGGAUAGCAAGCGUGUGUUUUUCAGGUGCCUAGAUUCUAGACGUGGCUAGAAGUCCGUCUUUGACCGGAAGUCCCUUUGGCUAUGUACAAUCCCGACUUCCAUAAUUGCUGCAGUAGUGUGAUGACUGACCAGUGUCGUGGUCUAUUACAGUAGUGAAAUUUUAUAUGGUUUAUAGUUGUUGUCUGUUGUGUACAUGUUGGUCUGGCUACGAUAGUAAUGUAUUGUACCACGGAGGUAAAUUCCCGUGAUGUAAUUUCGACAUAAUGGUUUAUGCCGGGCUAGUACGUACAUGAUACGGAAACGAUAAGUCCGAGCACGUUGUAUGGUGUUACCAGUGUAUAUAAAUGUAUCUUUGUUUAAAUGCUGUGUUUGUGAA